rnacentral:rRNA from 1 species
AACGAACGCUGGCGGCAGGCUUAACACAUGCAAGUCGAACGCCCGUAGCAAUACGGGAGUGGCGGACGGGUGAGUAACGCGUGGGAACGUACCCUGAGGUACGGAAUAACCGAGGGAAACUUCGGCUAAUACCGUAUGAGCCCCGCAAGGGGGAAAGAUUUUAUCGCCUUGGGAGCGGCCCGCGUCGGAUUAGCUAGUUGGUGGGGUAACGGCCUACCAAGGCUUCGAUCCGUAGCUGGUCUGAGAGGACGAUCAGCCACACUGGGACUGAGACACGGCCCAGACUCCUACGGGAGGCAGCAGUGGGGAAUCUUGCGCAAUGGGGGCAACCCUGACGCAGCCAUGCCGCGUGAACGAUGAAGGCCUUAGGGUUGUAAAGUUCUUUUAUAUGUGAGCAGUGCUUCUUAUAUUAACAGUAUGGGGAGAGAGAUAUUAGCAUAUGAAUAAGCAAACGGCUAACUCCGUGCCAGCAGCCGCGGUAAAAUCAACGUGUA